ensembl:lncRNA
GAUAAUUAUCAAUAUAUCAAAACUGUUUAGUUUGAUUUUGACAUUCUCAAUUUAUUUUUCACUACUCAGCAAAACAAGUAGCAGAGAAUGCUCCAGUAGACCUCUAGGAAAAUCAAAUAAAAUACAAAAACAUCACAUGAAAAAGCAAAGUCUGUUCUGAAAGGUCUUCAUAUCCAACAUUUGCUAAAGGUAACACAAGCAUCCAGUGUCUUUACAGCAAAUGAACCAAGAGAAGAAGUUCAAGGAGUAGAAGUACAAGAUGACAAAUACGUGCAAGCAGAGGUGCCGAUUGAUCAGGUAAAGUUAAGGCAAAUUUGUUGCUUUCUCUAAUAUGAUCAUGAG